rnacentral:lncRNA from 1 species
AGGCUUAUGAUCACUCAACGACAAGGAUACAUUUCAUCUCUUCCAAAUAGUUUGUAUUUGCUAUUAAUUCAGUUCAAAAACCAAGCACAACUAAUUCUAAUGCAGGACAUCAGUUUUCUAUUACUUCCACACGAGCAUACGAAGCAUGCUUGUCAUAAACUUCAUUCCUGCUCAUCCAGUUAAGAGAAUCAAGAGGUCUUUUCCAUAGACAUCUACACAGC